rnacentral:rRNA from 1 species
GACGAACGCUGGCGGCAUGCCUAACACAUGCAAGUCGAACGGAGAUUAUUUCGGUAAUCUUAGUGGCGAACGGGCGAGUAACGCGUGGGCAACCUGCCCUCUAGAUGGGGACAACAUCCCGAAAGGGGUGCUAAUACCGAAUGUGACAGCAAUCUCGCAUGAGGAUGCUGUGAAAGAUGGCCUCUAUUUAUAAGCUAUCGCUAGAGGAUGGGCCUGCGUCUGAUUAGCUAGUUGGUGGGGUAACGGCCUACCAAGGCGAUGAUCAGUAGCCGGUCUGAGAGGAUGAACGGCCACAUUGGGACUGAGACACGGCCCAGACUCCUACGGGAGGCAGCAGUGGGGAAUCUUCCGCAAUGGGCGAAAGCCUGACGGAGCAAUGCCGCGUGAGUGAUGAAGGAAUUCGUUCCGUAAAGCUCUUUUGUUUAUGACGAAUGUGCAGAUUGUGAACAAUGAUCUGUAAUGACGGUAGUAAACGAAUAAGCCACGGCUAACUACGUG